ensembl:lncRNA
GGCUGGGGUGUCCUUUAUUGCCCCUGAGGUUCAGCUUUCCUUAGCACAUCAAGCAGACUGGGGUACAGCCACAGAGGGAAUGGUCCUGCCAGUCCAUUCAGAUAUGCAUUAGGAAGGAAGAGCAGCUUGCCAGUAAUAUUCAGGUUUAAAUCGAUCUCUUUAUUCUCCUCUAAAAGAGUUCUGUUUGCACCCGCUCAUAUCACUGCAUUUUUCCACUAAGGUUGUCUCACUUAUUUAACUUGACACAGGGAGUCCCCUCUGAGGUCUUUGAGAUUCCAGCCAGCAUUGGAAGUGACAGCCCAGAUAAGGCAGAAAGAGUUGAAUUUGCUACUUACCAAGAGAAGAAAAACAACACAAGAGUUUGGUGAAUGGGCAUGCUUUGGAUUCACACUGGAUCCUGGAAACAGAAUUGUCCCCUGUGGAUGUAGAAGUAUCAUGGUAACUCUCCUCAGGACAGUGCAAUCCAGAGUGACCCAGAGGGUCACAGCUUGUUCCUGUAGGAGCAGGGCUGUGCCAGCCCCAGCAUUCCUGGCACGGGAUGACCACACUGGAACUCCAUAAUGAAGGAGGUUAUCAUCCAGGAGUUAUACCCUGCUUGUUUUUAAACCUGCAAAGGGAAGAUACUGUGAACAAAGCAGUGAAGGCUCUCAGGUUCCUCCCCAGGUGCCAGGAGAGGAGUGGGGCUGUUUUGGAUCACCUGAGCACAGGGCUGGAUGCAACUGGGUUCUCAACAUCUGAAAGGGAUGGCGAAAUAAAUUACACAGAUCCCUGUGCAAGUCUGAUCAAGCUCUCAAAGGUGAGAACAGCCUUGCCAAAGAACUGCCUGCCUACCUAUGUCCUCAUUCCACGAUCCAGGUGACUUUUGUUCCACGGAGCCACACCUCAGCCUCUCACCUCACCGGGAGAGAAAACCUCCCAGACGUCUCAGUUUUGCAACCGAGCAGUUGUGCCCUUGUCGUGCUUCCAGCAUUUCCUCACAGCCCGCACUCAGAAACGAGGGCUGCGAGUCCCAGCCUCAGCAGGAACGUCUCCCCCAUCAUUAAAUAAUUGAGCUGCUCCUGCAAUCUGGAGCCCGGCAGCCCGAGACGCUACCUCAUAGCUGCUGGGUCGCUGGCACAGGUUUGACAAAACCCUUCAGGGAUGGCUACUGCAGGGAGGCUCUUUCCUGGCAGGUCCCAGCUUGGUUUGUUGGGUCAGUGGGGAGACAGACAGGGCUCGCCACGCCAGGCCCGUGCCAAGCCACGCUGGCCAAAAUUGGCUGAGCCCUGGCUGUACCUUCCAGAAGUACUGAAGAAGGGGUUUUGGUCCUUGGUUGAGGAAAGGAAGGAAAUUUAGGUAUCAGAGUCCUUGGGAGAUGCUGUUUUGCUGCCCUCUAGGCAAAGAUUAAAGCUUGAAAUGUGGAAACUACAGAAAAUGCUGUCCUGAGCACACCAAAGCAAAGCAAAGGGUUGGGAAGGUGGAAAGGCUUUUCGUGGGACUUCAUUAAGGUGUGAGUAUGAAAUCUGUAAAAAGAUCUCUGGCCUCAGAUAAGGGAGAUCCAGUGGUGUACAACAAAGAAUUAUCAGUAAAGGCAUCAUAAUUACAAAGUUCUUUUAUAUUAAAAUGAUGUCAUGUAAUAGGUUGAAGAACAAGAAAUAAAUAAGCUGUGCAGAUCUCCUUUAUCUAAAUA